GGGAAAAGAACAAAAAAUUAAAUUUUGAUUUUUAAGUUGCGAACAAUUCCAAAACAAUCCCAAAUUAAUCCAACAUAAUUUCCUAUGAUUACUAGUCAAUUAGGGGCUAAUUUUUGUGAUUGAAGAACACCUAAUUUUCUGAUUUUAAUCUUUGAUUUGAGGUUUCGAUUUUAAAACACCACCCAAAGACUAAACAUGGCAUUCACGCCGCCAGCAAUGUAAUAACAAUAUAUAUCAUCAUAAUGUUAAAGCUUGAUAUUUUAGUUUCAAGCAACCCCAGAAAACAGCCCCAAAAUUAAUCUAAUAUUAAUUUUCUUUGAUUACCAUUCAAUUAGGAACUAAUUUUGUGAUGGAUUAACACUUAAUUUAUUAUUCUAAUCCCAGCUGGUUAGAAUUUCUGAUUUCUCUGCCCAAUUUUCAACCCAAAAUAUACACACUCAAAACAUAAAUGCAUGACCCAAUAUUCCAAAGCAAAUAUCAGAAUGUAAAUGCACAAUUAUAGCAGAUUAAGACAAAACGAAAUUGCACUCCAAAGUACAAAAUCACCAAACAGAAAUCAAAAAGAAGAAAUUAAAGAAAGCAUAAAACCUAUUCUGAUUCACCCAAUUAUUAAACAUAAGUCUUCCCCUAACCUUAAGUUUUGAUGAAUUCUUUCUUUGAUCCUAGCUGCUGAAAUCCUUUCUUCUCCUUCCUAUGGGCGGCUGCCUCUACCUCUUCUCUACCUCAAUUUUUCUGAUUUUCUUUCUAAGUUUACUUAAACUAGUUAAACUAGUUUUAACAUAAUUCUUAUUCUUUGGGCUUCCUAUCCGCACCCGUCUUUUACUUCGUGCUAUCACAACCCAAGUCCACUUACUACUUUUC
rnacentral:lncRNA from 1 species